rnacentral:lncRNA from 1 species
CAUCAGAAGUCUUCCAGGCUGCUCAGACUAUGCCCAGGUCUUUAAGGACCACGCGAUUGAUGGAGAAACACUGCCCCUUCUUACAGAACAGCAUCUUCGAGGCACCAUGGGACUCAAGCUGGGCCCAGCACUGAAAAUUCAGUCUCAGGUAUCUCAGCAUGUGGGAAAUAUGUUCUGUAAAAAACUUCCUUCACUUCCCUCCCAUGCAAGGCAAGCAUUUGAUCAGCCAGCAGACACAUCCCCUCUUUUACUGCUAGCCUGGAGUAGGCCCGAUGAGGGUGAAGUUCUGGAGUAGGCCCGAUGAGGGUGAAGUUUGUAUUUACCAGUGGGGUAGGGAAAAGUUAUCUGUAUGUAACAGGUCGGAACUAGUGAGAGGGAAGUGAUGAUUAAGGUGGCUGUGUACGCUCCAUGUGGAGUCCCAGUCUUCCAACUUAAUAUUUCACAGAAUGUCUCUAAAGGGACACACACACACACACACACACACACACACACA